rnacentral:rRNA from 1 species
AUUGAACGCUGGCGGCAGGCCUAACACAUGCAAGUCGGACGGUAGCACAGAGGAGCCUGCUCCUCGGGUGACGAGUGGCGGACGGGUGAGUAAUGUCUGGGGAUCUGCCCGAUAGAGGGGGAUAACCACUGGAAACGGUGGCUAAUACCGCAUAACGUCGCAAGACCAAAGAGGGGGACCUUCGGGCCUCUCACUAUCGGAUGAACCCAGAUGGGAUUAGCUAGUAGGCGGGGUAAUGGCCCACCUAGGCGACGAUCCCUAGCUGGUCUGAGAGGAUGACCAGCCACACUGGAACUGAGACACGGUCCAGACUCCUACGGGAGGCAGCAGUGGGGAAUAUUGCACAAUGGGCGCAAGCCUGAUGCAGCCAUGCCGCGUGUAUGAAGAAGGUCUUCGGGUUGUAAAGUACUUUCAGCGGGGAGGAAGGCGGUGCGGUUAAUAACCGCGCCGAUUGACGUUACCCGCAGAAGAAGCACCGGCUAACUCCGUGCCAGCCGCCGCGGUAACAC